UCAAGCUAUUCGGGCGCAUGAUGGAUGCCUUGGCGACAGCGGGCGACGAAGGACGCGGCAAGCCGCGAUAGUCCACGGGUAGGCGCAGGCGGCCCUUGAUCCGUGGGUUUCCGAAUGGAGCAAUCCGGCGCCGUUGAUGCGGCGCCAUCCCGGCAUGAAUCCAUAGUGCCGGGAGGCCACACCCGGGGAAGUGAAACAUCUCAGUACCCGGAGGAGAAGAAAUCAAUCGAGAUUCCGUGAGUAGUGGCGAGCGAAAGCGGAAGAGCCCAAACCGCCGGGCGUGCCCGGCGGGGUUGCGGGACCUGGCCGCGGCGGGCAAGCCGUUAGCGCAAGCCGCUGGAAAGCGGCGCCGCGGAGGGUGAAAGCCCCGUGCGCGAAAACAGCUUGCCCCGCCUACAGGCAUCCCAAGUAGGGCGGGACACGUGAAACCCCGCCUGAAUCCGGGGGGCCCACCCCCCAAGGCUAAAUACCUGCUGUCGACCGAUAGUGCACAAGUACCGCGAGGGAAAGGUGAAAAGAACCCCUGCUAGGGGAGUGAAACAGACCCUGAAAUCAUGCGCCCCCAAACUGUGGGAGCCCCCUUGGGGGUGACCGCAUGCCUUUUGCAUAAUGAGCCUGCGAGUUGCCGCGCCGCGGCGAGGUUAAGCCCUUGGCGGAGCCGAAGCGAAAGCGAGUGCGAACAGCGCGAUUUCCAGUCGCGCGCGGCAGACCCGAAGCUGGGUGAUCUAUCCAUGGCCAGGCUGAACCCCCGGUGAUGCGGGGCGGAGGGCCGAACCAGUUGAUGUUGAAAAAUCUUUGGAUGAGCUGUGGAUAGGGGUGAAAGGCCAAUCAAACCCAGUGAUAGCUGGUUCUCUCCGAAAUAGCUUUAGGGCUAGCCCCGGGCCAUUGGCGCGCGGGGGUAGAGCUACCGGCUGACCGAGGGUCCCCACCGGGAUGCCGACGUCAUCCGAACUCCGAAUACCGCGCGCACCUACCCCGGGAGUCAGACGGCGGGGGAUAAGCUCCGUCGUCAAAAGGGAAACAGCCCAGACCGCCGACUAAGGCCCCCAAUCGCCCGCUGAGUGGAUUGUAAGGAGGUGGGGCCGCGCAGACAGCCAGGAUGUUGGCUCAGAGGCAGCCAUCAUUUAAAGACCGCGUAAUAGCCCACUGGCCGAGUGGCCCCGCGCCGAAAAUGAUCGGGACUGAAGCGGGCAGCCGACGUCGCGGAGACGCGAUUGUGAUCGCGAUCUGGUAGGAGAGCGCCGCAUGCCGGCUGAAGGCGCGCCGCGAGGCGCGCUGGACGGCAUGCGGGUGACCAUGCAGGCAUGAGUAGCGACAAGGCGGGUGCGAAUCCCGCCCACCGAAAAUCCAAGGUUUCCUGGGCCAGGUUCGUCCCCCCAGGGUCAGUCGGGUCCUAAGGCGAGGCCGAAAGGCGUAGUCGAUGGCCGCCAGGCGAACAUUCCUGGACCCGUGGGGUUAGGCCGCCGGAUGACGCGGCGAAGCUGAGGCGCCUCCGAAUGGUUGUGGAGGUCGGGCGCAGGCCCGGGUGCCCUUUCCGCAAGGUUUGGGCGAAGGUCUUGGCGGAGCCGCCGAGAAAAGUCCGUCGUCCGCUUGAAUCCCCCCGGCCCGUACCGCAAACCGACACAGGUGGAUGGGUCGAGAAGACUAAGGUGCGCGAGAGAAACCACGUUAAGGAACUCGGCAAAAUGGCCCCGUAACUUUGGGAGAAGGGGCGCUCCGGGCAUUAAGGGUCAAACUAAGGUGCCCGGAGCCGCAGUGAAUGGGCCCAGGCGACUGUUUAGCAAAAACACAGCACUAUGCCAACUCGCAAGAGGACGUAUAUGGUGUGACACGUGACCAAUGCCGAAAGGUCAAGCGGACGGGUCAGCCGCAAGGCGAAGCUCCGAAGUGAAGCCCCGGUGAAUGUCGGCCGUAACUAUAACGGUCCUAAGGUAGCGAAAUUCCUUGUCGGG
rnacentral:rRNA from 1 species